CCCAAGGAAAAAGGCGCUAUAACCAGAGUGUGAAGUGUGCAUAGAACCAAAGAAUAACCUGUCGAGACCAGAUAAAAAGGGAUGAACUUAAAGGCUGUAGUUGUGAUAGUUGCCAUUCUAAUUGUGGCCUCAGGAAUGCAGGAGAGUGAUGCUGCGGUACCAUGGAGCCCCUCGAAAGGAAGAAGUAUCAAGAAAGUUAAGAGCGUCGCUCUCAAUAAGGAGCAAAGUUACCGUCGAACGCUGUGUGAGGCCGCACGAUAUCUGGAUUGCGAUUAUCAAGCACAGGAAGACGAUUGACGUAGGACACUGGCGAUGUCGACAAGUUACUACCGUCAUGAUACUUUACGAAUUUAUCGGAAAUAAUACUAUGUAAACUUAUGAGUAAACUGAUCAGUGUUACAAUAAACUGGAAAAUCA